CGAGCGGCGGACGGGUGAGUAACGCGUGAGAAUCUGCCCAUUUGUGGGGGAUAACUCGGGGAAACUCGAGCUAAUACCGCAUAAUCCCUACGGGGGAAAGCAGGGGACCUUCGGGCCUUGUGCAGAUGGAUGAGCUCGCGUCGGAUUAGCUUGUUGGUGAGGUAAAGGCUCACCAAGGCGACGAUCCGUAGCUGGUCUGAGAGGAUGAUCAGCCACACCGGGACUGAGACACGGCCCGGACUCCUACGGGAGGCAGCAGUGGGGAAUCUUGGACAAUGGGGGCAACCCUGAUCCAGCCAUGCCGCGUGUGUGAAGAAGGCCUUCGGGUUGUAAAGCACUUUCAGUAGGGAGGAAGGCUUACCGCUAAUAACGGUGAGUACUUGACGUUACCUACAGAAGAAGCACCGGCUAAUUUCGUGCCAGCAGCCGCGGUAAUACGAAAGGUGCGAGCGUUAAUCGGAAUUACUGGGCGUAAAGCGCGCGUAGGCGGUUUGUUAAGUCAGAUGUGAAAGCCCCGGGCUCAACCUGGGAAUUGCAUUUGAAACUGGCAGGCUAGAGUGCAGUAGAGGGAGGUGGAAUUUCCGGUGUAGCGGUGAAAUGCGUAGAGAUCGGAAGGAACACCAGUGGCGAAGGCGGCCUCCUGGACUGA
rnacentral:rRNA from 1 species